GAGGGUAUAGCUCAGUGGUAGAGUGCAUGCUUAGCAUGCACAAGGUCCUGGGUUCAAUCCUCAGUACCGCCA
rnacentral:tRNA from 1 species